UCUUGGCACCUCCAAGUCUAGCAGGCACGUAAGGUGGCCCCGCCUGGCCUGGUUCUGGCUCUUCACACCCUGUUUCUAGGAUAUUGACCUGACAUCUGCAAAUAACACUUCAUCCACUCACACCGGUAAUUACUGACAGCGGAAGUGAACCUAGAGAGGCAGAAUAAACCAGGGUAACAACCCUCCCCUCCCCCAAGGGUAAAGACAAGUGAGAGGAAUCCAAACCAGCAGACCAACUACACUAAAGACAAGGCUUGUCUCUGUAUUCUCUGUCAGUACAAAGACACUUUCCAAAUGUGGAGUGAAUAAAUAAAUGAAUAAAGGAACAAAUAAACCAGUAAAUACAAGAACUGCGAGGACCUCCAACUCCCAACCUCUAGAAAACCACGAAGUGGUUCAUCAGCUGAUCUACAGACACCUGGAGAAAGAUUAGUUUUCAGGGAAGAACACAGAGGAAGACAUGCCCCAUUUUUUGCAUCUAGGCUUCCCAAGGAAUGUGUAUCGUUCUAAGAACGUAAAUAUUUUACCUCCAUGCUCUCCCAUAACCAUUUUUCUUCAAGCUGACAGCUCUGUAAUUAAAGUUCUUAUGCUGCUGCUUUAUUUUUCCAAGCGGCCUUUGUCUUUUCACAACUGCAGAGGCUUUCUGCCAGGACCCCUGCAGUGUUGGGCACUGAGGACUCCUGCCUGUCAACAUGUCCCCAUUCACAGAAUUCAGUACCAAAAAGAACAGCUUGGGAGAAAAAAUUGUUUGGGGCACUCCUCUCAAAACCUAUGGGACUGCAAAAUGCAAUAAAAGUAAUAACCGAUAA